rnacentral:rRNA from 1 species
CCUACGGGUGGCAGCAGUGAGGAAUAUUGGUCAAUGGGCGCGAGCCUGAACCAGCCAAGUCGCGUGAGGGAGGACGGCCCUACGGGUUGUAAACCUCUUUUGCCGGGGAGCAACGGGCGUCACGUGUGGCGCCACUGAGAGUACCCGGAGAAAAAGCAUCGCUUAACUCCGUGCCAGCAGCCGCGGUAAUACGGAGGCUGCGAGCGUUAGCCGGAUUUAUUGGGUUUAAAGGGUGCGUGGGCGGAUCGUAAAGUCAGUGGUCAAAUUGAGGGGCUCACCCCCUUCGCGCCAUUGAAACUGGCGCUCUUGAGUGGAAGAGAAGUAUGCGGAAUGCGGGGUGUAGCGGUGAAAUGCAUAGAGAUCACGCAGAACCCCGAUGGCGAAGGCAGCAUGCCGGCUUCCGACUGACGCUGAAGCACGAAAGCGUGGGGAUCGAACAGGAUUAGAUACCCUGGUAGUC